rnacentral:rRNA from 1 species
AGAGUUUGAUCCUGGCUCAGGACGAACGCUGGCGGCGUGCCUAAUACAUGCAAGUAGAACGCUGAAGAGAGGAGCUUGCUCUUCUUGGAUGAGUUGCGAACGGGUGAGUAACGCGUAGGUAACCUGCCUUGUAGCGGGGGAUAACUAUUGGAAACGAUAGCUAAUACCGCAUAACAAUGGAUGACACAUGUCAUUUAUUUGAAAGGGGCAAUUGCUCCACUACAAGAUGGACCUGCGUUGUAUUAGCUAGUAGGUGAGGUAACGGCUCACCUAGGCGACGAUACAUAGCCGACCUGAGAGGGUGAUCGGCCACACUGGGACUGAGACACGGCCCAGACUCCUACGGGAGGCAGCAGUAGGGAAUCUUCGGCAAUGGGGGCAACCCUGACCGAGCAACGCCGCGUGAGUGAAGAAGGUUUUCGGAUCGUAAAGCUCUGUUGUAAGUCAAGAACGAGUGUGAGAGUGGAAAGUUCACACUGUGACGGUAGCUUACCAGAAAGGGACGGCUAACUACGUGCCAGCAGCCGCGGUAAUACGUAGGUCCCGAGCGUUGUCCGGAUUUAUUGGGCGUAAAGCGAGCGCAGGCGGUUUGAUAAGUCUGAAGUUAAAGGCUGUGGCUCAACCAUAGUUCGCUUUGGAAACUGUCAAACUUGAGUGCAGAAGGGGAGAGUGGAAUUCCAUGUGUAGCGGUGAAAUGCGUAGAUAUAUGGAGGAACACCGGUGGCGAAAGCGGCUCUCUGGUCUGUAACUGACGCUGAGGCUCGAAAGCGUGGGGAGCGAACAGGAUUAGAUACCCUGGUAGUCCACGCCGUAAACGAUGAGUGCUAGGUGUUGGAUCCUUUCCGGGAUUCAGUGCCGCAGCUAACGCAUUAAGCACUCCGCCUGGGGAGUACGACCGCAAGGUUGAAACUCAAAGGAAUUGACGGGGGCCCGCACAAGCGGUGGAGCAUGUGGUUUAAUUCGAAGCAACGCGAAGAACCU